rnacentral:rRNA from 1 species
AAUAGAUACCCUGGUAGUCCACGCCCUAAACGAUGAUAACUCGAUGUUGGCGAUACACAGUCAGCGUCCAAGCGAAAGCGUUAAGUUAUCCACCUGGGGAGUACGCCCGCAAGGGUGAAACUCAAAGGAAUUGACGGGGGCCCGCACAAGCGGAGGAGCAUGUGGUUUUAAUUCGAUGAUACGCGAGGAACCUUACCCGGGCUUGAAAGUUAGUGAAUGGGACAGAGACGUCCCAGUCCUUCGGGACACGAAACUAGGUGCUGCAUGGCUGUCGUCAGCUCGUGCCGUGAGGUGUUGGGUUAAGUCCCGCAACGAGCGCAACCCUAUGUUUAGUUGCCAGCAUGUAGUGGUGGGGACUCUAAACAGACUGCCUGCGUAAGCAGUGAGGAAGGUGGGGACGACGUCAAGUCAUCAUGGCCCUUACGUCCGGGGCUACACACGUGCUACAAUGGACGGUACAGCGGGCAGCUACACAGACAAUGUGAUGCCAAUCUACGAAAACGCCGUUACACAGUUCGGUAGUCGGGGUCGUGCAACGUACCG